rnacentral:rRNA from 1 species
UUAUGACUGGGUACACACGUGUACAAUGGACAGAACAAAGGGCUGCAAGCCAGGUUUAGCCAAUCCCAUAAAUCUGUUUUCUGUACGGAUCGCAGUCUGCAACUCGACUGCGUGAAGCCGGAAUGGCUAGUAAUCGCGGAUCAGCAUGCCGCGGUGAAUACGUUCCCGGGCCUUGUACACACCGCCCGUCACACCACGAGAGUUUGCAACACCCGAAGUCGGUGAGGUAACCUUUAUGGAGCCAGCCGCCGAAGGUGGGGCAGAUGAUGGGGGU